ensembl:lncRNA
CCAGGCCUUACUGGUUGAUAAAGAGAGAAGUCAGGUUUUAAGGAAAAGCAGGGUUAUUAAACUUGAGGUUGCUUCUACACAGACUGGAAGCGUCAGUUUAGCACAUGAACUACAAGCUCCCCAGCUUCUGCUCUGCCGUCAGCUCUGCCAUUCUAUGAUUCUAUGAUUCCCACUUUCAAGCUCCAUGUCUAUAACUCCUAUAGACAAUAUAUGAAGGACGCAGUGUAAUUACAUUGUGAGCUCUACAAGGAAAACAGGAGGAACCAUGGGGGAGAUGAAAAUAGCAGAAGACUGACUAGAGGCAGGGAAUGACAAGGAAUGACCAACUAGACAAGGGCUCUUUAUCCUAGGAGUCUUCAAACAAAAUCCUGUCACAGGCUGGGAAAAAAAAGGCCGGG